UACGUAGGGGGCUAGCGUUGUCCGGAAUCAUUGGGCGUAAAGCGCGCGUAGGCGGCUACUUAAGUCGGAUGUGAAAGCCCUUGGCUCAACUGAGGAAGUGCACCCGAAACUGAGUGGCUAGAGUACGAAAGAGGGUCGCGGAAUUCCCGGUGUAGAGGUGAAAUUCGUAGAUAUCGGGAGGAACACCGGUGGCGAAGGCGGCGACCUGGGUCGAUACUGACGCUGAUGCGCGAAAGCGUGGGGAGCAAACAGG
rnacentral:rRNA from 1 species